rnacentral:rRNA from 1 species
UACAGAGGGUGCUAACGUUGUUCGGAAUUACUGGGCGUAAAGCGUGCGCAGGCGGUGCGCCAAGCUCGAUGUGAAAGCCCCGGGCUUAACCUGGGAAUUGCAUUGAGGACUGGCGUGCUCGAGUGCGGCAGAGGGGGGUGGAAUUCCACGUGUAGCAGUGAAAUGCGUAGAGAUGUGGAGGAACACCGAUGGCGAAGGCAGCCCCCUGGGCCGACACUGACGCUCAUGCACGAAAGCGUGGGGAGCAAACAGG